rnacentral:misc_RNA from 1 species
UCCGAGUUGUCCCCGGCAGUCCCCUUAGAGUCCCCGGCUUUACCCGCUGGCAACUAAGGGCAAGGGUUGCGCUCGUUGCGGCACUUAAGCCAACACCUCACGACACGAGCUGACGACAACCAUGCACCACCUGUGAACCGACCCCAAAGGGGAAGGACUGUUUCCAGCCCGAUCCGGUCCAUGUCAAGCCUUGGUAAGGUUCUUCGCGUUGUUUCGAAUUAAACCACAUGCUCCACCGCUUGUGCGGGCCCCCGUCAAUUCCUUUGAGUUUCAGCCUUGCGGCCGUACUCCCCAGGCGGGGUGCUUAACGCGUUAGCUGCGACACUGACGGGGUCGCUCCCCCCAGCAUCUAGCACCCAUCGUUUACGGCGUGGACUAC